rnacentral:lncRNA from 1 species
AAUGCAAAUUUAUCCAUACUUCUUCUUCUUUGCUUGUUGCUAUACUUUUCAAAACCAGCAUCAAAUCAUAUUUUAAACCUACCUCUUCUAUUGCUCUAUCUAUAGCCUCUUCUUUUGAAAUCAAAUCCAUAUUUUUAAAUUUUUUCUCUUAUUUCUUCAUCUUUCUUCUAUAUAUUGAAUUCAAAUCUUUAAUUUUUUUAAAAUUCAUAAAGCCACUUUCUGUCAUGGACAUAUAUAUUUACC